rnacentral:rRNA from 1 species
GCAGAUGGAAUUGGUGGUGUAGGGGUAAAAUCCGUAGAGAUCACCAGGAAUACCCAUUGCGAAGGCGAUCUGCUGGAACACAAUUGACGCUGAGGCAUGAAAGCGUGGGGAGCAAACAGGAUUAGAUACCCUGGUAGUCCACGCCCUAAACGAUGUACACUAGUUGUUGCCCUGCUAGUCAGGGCAGUAAUACAGUUAACACAUUAAGUGUACCGCCUGGGGAGUACGGUCGCAAGAUUAAAACUCAAAGGAAUAGACGGGGACCCGCACAAGCGGUGGAGCAUGUGGUUUAAUUCGAAGAUACGCGAAGAACCUUACCUGGACUUGAUAUCCUUGGAAUCUCUC